rnacentral:rRNA from 1 species
CCUACGGGAGGCAGCAGUGGGGAAUAUUGGGCAAUGGGCGCACGCCUGACCCAGCAACGCCGCGUUAAGGAAGAAGGCUUUCGGGUUGUAAACUUCUUUUAAGAGGGAAGAGCCGAAGACGGUACCUCUUGAAUAAGCCACGGCUAACUACGUGCCAGCAGCCGCGGUAAUACGUAGGUGGCAAGCGUUGUACGGAUUUACUGGGUGUAAAGGGCGUGUAGCCGGGCUGACAUGUCAGUGGUGAAAUUCCGAGGCUCAACCCCGGACCUGCAUUUGAAACUGUUGGUCUUGAGUAUCGGAGAGGCAGGCGGAAUUCCUAGUGUAGCGGUGAAAUGCGUAGAUAUUAGGAGGAACACCAGUGGCGAAGGCGGCCUGCUGGACGACAACUGACGGUGAGGCGCGAAAGCGUGGGGAGCAAACAGGAUUAGAUACCCUUGUAGUC